rnacentral:rRNA from 1 species
UCCAGACUCCUACGGGAGGCAGCAGUGAGGAAUAUUGGUCAAUGGGCUUACGCCUGAACCAGCCAAGUCGCGUGAGGGAAGACUGCCCUAUGGGUUGUAAACCUCUUUUGUCAGGGAGCAACGCCGGCUACGUGUAGCCGGACUGAGAGUACCUGAAGAAAAAGCAUCGGCUAACUCCGUGCCAGCAGCCGCGGUAAUACGGAGGAUGCGAGCGUUAUCCGGAUUUAUUGGGUUUAAAGGGUGCGUAGGCGGAUUUUUAAGUCAGCGGUAAAAUGUCCGGGCUCAACCCGGGCCGGCCGUUGAAACUGGGGAUCUUGAGUGGGCGAGAAGUAUGCGGAAUGCGUGGUGUGGCGGUGAAAUGCAUAGAUAUCACGCAGAACUCCGAUUGCGAAGGCAGCGUACCGGCGCCCAACUGACGCUGAAGCACGAAGGCGUGGGUAUCGAACAGGAUUAGAUACCCGAGUA